UAUCAUCUAUUUGGUAAUUUCCAUCUUUUUCAAAAAUUUUGUGCUUGUUUUCAACUUAGUUUUUAAGAAGUGUACAAAUUUUGAGUUAAGAUCAAUGGUUCAUUUAUUAAUAAUUGAGAUUUAAAUCUGUUGUAUGAAUUACUAGGGUUUGAUUUAGAGUUUAGGAUUUGGUUUAGGAUUUGAUUAGGGUUUGAUUUAGGAUUUAGGAUUUGAUUAAGAUUUGAUUUAGAAUUUAGGAUUUUAUUAGGAUUUGUUUAGGGUUUAUUUAGGAUUUAACAUUUAGUUAGUUUUUGGCCUAAAGUUUUAAUGAAGUCCAAUAGGAUUUUAACUAGGAUUAAAUUAAGAUUGAAUUAAGAUGUAUUUGAGAUAUAUCUGUAAUCAUUCUAAUAUUUUUUUUAAGAUUUCUUAUUAUUUCUUUGUAAUUUUUUUGAGGUUUCUUUGAAUUUGAUUAAAGCUUACUUAGCAUUGUUAUGGUCUAAUUAAAAUUUAGUUAGUAUUCUAUUAGAAUUAGGAUUUUGUUGUUCCAAUUUAUAUUCUACCUUCCAUAGCAAGGUGCCUGGAGCAUUCUCAAGUAAGACUUCAC
rnacentral:lncRNA from 1 species